CAGAUUCGUCGACACAGAGUUUGAUCCUGGCUCAGCCGAAUUCUUCGACUUGGAGCCUUGAUCCUGGCUCAAACCCAAUGAGUCCACGUGAGUAACCUGCCCUUGACUCUGGGAUAAGCCUGGGAAACCGGGUCUAAUACUGGAUACGACCUUCUGGCGCAUGCCAUGUUGGUGGAAAGCUUUUGUGGUUUUGGAUGGACUCGCGGCCUAUCAGCUUGUUGGUGGGGUAAUGGCCUACCAAGGCGACGACGGGUAGCCGGCCUGAGAGGGUGACCGGCCACACUGGGACUGAGACACGGCCCAGACUCCUACGGGAGGCAGCAGUGGGGAAUAUUGCACAAUGGGCGCAAGCCUGAUGCAGCGACGCCGCGUGAGGGAUGAAGGCCUUCGGGUUGUAAACCUCUUUCAGUAGGGAAGAAGCCGAUCUUUUGGGUUGGUGACGGUACCUGCAGAAGAAGCGCCGGCUAACUACGUGCCAGCAGCCGCGGUAAUACGUAGGGCGCAAGCGUUAUCCGGAAUUAUUGGGCGUAAAGAGCUCGUAGGCGGUUUGUCGCGUCUGCCGUGAAAGUCCGGGGCUUAACCCCGGAUCUGCGGUGGGUACGGGCAGACUAGAGUGCAGUAGGGGAGACUGGAAUUCCUGGUGUAGCGGUGAAAUGCGCAGAUAUCAGGAGGAACACCGAUGGCGAAGGCAGGUCUCUGGGCUGUAACUGACGCUGAGGAGCGAAAGCAUGGGGAGCGAACAGGAUUAGAUACCCUGGUAGUCCAUGCCGUAAACGUUGGGCACUAGGUGUGGGGGACAUUCCACGUUUUCCGCGCCGUAGCUAACGCAUUAAGUGCCCCGCCUGGGGAGUACGGCCGCAAGGCUAAAACUCAAAGGAAUUGACGGGGGCCCGCACAAGCGGCGGAGCAUGCGGAUUAAUUCGAUGCAACGCGAAGAACCUUUACCAAGGCUUGACAUGAACCGGAAUGAUGCAGAGAUGUGUCAGCCACUUGUGGUCCGGUUUUCAGGUGGUGCAUGGUUGUCGUCAGCUCGUGUCGUGAGAUGUUGGGUUAAGUCCCGCAACGAGCGCAACCCUCGUUCCAUGUUGCCAGCGGGUUAUGCCGGGGACUCAUGGGAGACUGCCGGGGUCAACUCGGAGGAAGGUGGGGGGGACGUCAAAUCAUCAUGCCCCUUAUGUCUUGGGCUUCACGCACGCUACAAUGGCCGGUACAAAGGGGUGCGAUACUGUGAGGGGGAGAUAAUCCCAAAAAACCGGUCUCAGUUCGGAAUGAGGUUUGCAACUCGACCUCAUGAAGUUGGAGAGACUAGUAAUCGCAGAUCAGCAACGAUACGGUGAAACGUUCCCGGGCCUUGUCUCCCACCCGCCCACACCCCUUAAUGUACACCCGAUGCCAUACCUGAACCCCCCCUCCGACCUAUUGUUCAACUGAUCAGUUCACCGAAUUCUCACAACCGAGUUAUCCUACGUACCCCGAUAGC
rnacentral:rRNA from 1 species